UACGUAGGGGGCAAGCGUUGUCCGGAUUUAUUGGGCGUAAAGAGCGCGUAGGCGGCCCUGUAAGUCCGCUGUGAAAGUCAAGGGCUCAACCCUUGGAUGCCGGUGGAUACUGCAGGGCUAGAGUCCGGAAGAGGCGAGUGGAAUUCCUGGUGUAGCGGUGAAAUGCGCAGAUAUCAGGAGGAACACCGAUGGCGAAGGCAGCUCGCUGGGACGGUACUGACGCUGAGACGCGAAAGCGUGGGGAGCGAACAGG
rnacentral:rRNA from 1 species